GAUGAACGCUGGCGGCGUGCCUAAUACAUGCAAGUCGAGCGAACAGAUGAGGAGCUUGCUCCUCUGACGUUAGCGGCGGACGGGUGAGUAACACGUGGAUAACCUACCUAUAAGACUGGGAUAACUACGGGAAACCGGAGCUAAUACCGGAUAAUAUAUUGAACCGCAUGGUUCAAUAGUGAAAGACGGUUUUGCUGUCACUUAUAGAUGGAUCCGCGCCGCAUUAGCUAGUUGGUAAGGUAACGGCUUACCAAGGCAACGAUGCGUAGCCGACCUGAGAGGGUGAUCGGCCACACUGGAACUGAGACACGGUCCAGACUCCUACGGGAGGCAGCAGUAGGGAAUCUUCCGCAAUGGGCGAAAGCCUGACGGAGCAACGCCGCGUGAGUGAUGAAGGUCUUCGGAUCGUAAAACUCUGUUAUUAGGGAAGAACAAAUGUGUAAGUAACUAUGCACGUCUUGACGGUAACUAAUCAGAAAGCCACGGCUAACUACGUG
rnacentral:rRNA from 1 species